rnacentral:rRNA from 1 species
UACGUAGGGUGCAAGCGUUAUCCGGAUUUACUGGGUUUAAAGGGUCCGCAGGCGGUCUGCUAAGUCAGUGGUGAAAUAUCAGGGCUCAACCUUGAUGCUGCCAUUGAUACUGGCGGACUUGAGAAUAGUAGAGGUGGGCGGAAUGUAGCAUGUAGCGGUGAAAUGCGUAGAUAUGCUACAGAACACCGAUUGCGAAGGCAGCUCACUGGUCUAUAUCUGACGCUAAUGGACGAAAGCGUGGGUAGCGAACAGG